AAGAUGUAACAGUGUUUUAAGAUGUAUAAUCACAUCGAUUCGAUGGUUAAUCACAUCUGUCUUGAAAUUACACGGAAAUAAUGUAUAAACUUUUAUUAGCAUCGAAUAUGUGUAAUAUUCACAUCAAAACAAUGUGAAUAUUACACAGCAACAGCUGCAACCAAGUGGUUACGACGAACUUGUGUACAAUUACACAAAAUCGAUGCCAUAUCGCAUCCCCUUACGAUGUGAUAUCACAUCUCGCAACACUGUACUAGUUGUUGUGAUCGAUCCGCAAGCGAAGCAAGCUGCCAUUUUUGUUUUGCUCGGUUCUCGGACAAACAGUAUUUUUUUCCAGUGAUUAUUUCUUUGAUUAUUUAGUUAUCUUUUAAUAUUAUUCCUGUAAAAUAGGUACAGAACGGCUUUCGAAACUUCUCCGAUGUGCACCUCUUUGAAAAUCGCCAUGGGUCUAGUCGCUGUUGGUGGAACUGGGGCAGAAAAAGGAUCCCCCGCGGCGUGAAGACCGUCAUUAUUGGGACAAGUCAUCUUGUGAGGGUAACAAUUCAAGUUGGUUCCUUAGCCAACGAACCAGAUAGUCCCACCAAGUCCUGCAAGGCUCGCGGUUCGAACCACCGGUGCAUUUCAAGAACAUCAGCGAAACUGCGCUAGCCAUCAAGCGUAGGUAUGCCACUGCGCCGUUUCCAAAAGUUCCUGAAGAACGUCUGCGAAAAGGAAUGCAUUCCAUUCCGCCGCUUCAAUGGCAGUGUCGGCCGUUGCGCCCAGCCCAUGCACUAGUACAAGUCCGUCGGCAGAGUUCCUGCUGCCGCUGUUGAAAAACGCCCAAUGCCGACUAACGUGACACGAUGUGGGCUGACUUGUCGUGGACCAUAUUCAGGUCAACCGGGCGCUAUGCCUGCGUCGUCGUACUUACCCUGCCCACGGUCUCAUCAAUCCGUACAUGUCGGCACCGCGUCGCAUCGAGCUGUCCUUCUCCGAGAAAGAGGAUGUUGGUAAAAACUCGGAGGUCAUAUGCAGAUCGACGACGCCGCUGUCUUCAAGCAGUACUUUAUUCGCCGCUUCCGUCAGAAUGGUCGCCCGCAGAACCAAUUUGAAUUAUAUAUUAUAUAAUUAUGAUUCUUAUAGAAUGUUAUAAGUAAAUUAAAUUUUAUAAAAAAAAACCUACGAUAGAAAUAAAAUUUCCCUCUAGAAUAAACUUUUCCUGAUUUUCCUCUUGAAUGGCUGAUUAAAUUGUAUUAGAUCCUAUUUCGACUAAAAUUUUGUGUAUCCUUAAAAACCUAGUGGUUUUUCAGCUACACAAAUUUUUUCGUCGAAAAAAGAUGAAAUUCAAUUUAAUCAUCCAUUCAGGAGAAUUCUCAAGCGUUUACAUCGUUUCCUUACGUACAUUGCAAGGAUUGCAUCGCACCGUGUACGUCGAAUAAAUUACAUUGCAAGAAUUACAUCGGAUCUGUUUAUUACAUCAACAGCCGUCGAGUACAUCGGGCUGUGUAAUAUUAAUCAAUCGAUGUAACGACCUGGUUGCAGCGAUUUCGAUGUAAUAUUCAACAACUUUUUUUGCUGUGUGUAUUCAAUAUGGAUGGACGUACUGCAAGCGGCAACAUUCAUGUAUGCAAACAAUGCUCGAAAUCUAUUGAUCGACGUUCAAACUGCAUCGGUUGUGAGGGGUUUUGCCGUGACGUCUUUCACGCAGCGUGCGUGAAAAUGAGUGCUGAAGAUCUACUAAAGUACCGUGAGUCUAACAACUUUUGGUGGAUGUGCAACUCUUGCAGCGAUUUAAUGGUAAAGAAACGCAAUGACCGUCAUAUGCUUUUAAAGGAAGCUAAUUGCGAAGCUAGUGCACCAAAGCACAAAGAGAUCACGCGUAUCGAUGAUGAUAUCGCCGAAUUAAAACAACAAAUAGCUGUAAUACACCAGUCACUUGCGAAUUCUGCCGUUGUAUUCUCUCGUGCUGAACCGAACGUGGAUUCGCCUUCAUUGAUUACAAAUAACGAUGCUGCCGAAUCGUCGCCUGUGUCGUUACCCGUACCUGAUACACAAGUCGGAACAAAAGCUACGACUCGGCUGAGCUGCAUUGUGGAACAGAGGUGUACAAACGACCGUUUCUGGCUUUUUCUAACAGGAAUUAAAAACUGCGUGCAUGAACGAGAUAUUCUUGAGCUGGCAACCGAUGCUUUGGGUACAGAUGACGUCUUUGUAAAAAAGUUAGUUCCAGCGUGGAAGGAUUCCCUUUCAAUGCCCUUCAUUUCGUUCAAAAUUGGAAUCAACGUUCGCCUGAAAGGAAAAGCUCUGCUCCCGUCAACUUGGCCUUCUGGAUUGCGGUUCAGAGAGUUCCGGAAUAACUAUUGGGAACCACUGUAGAAGCCACAACGAAAAAAAAAACGUCUUGUUCAAAAACUGAUUUGCAUUUCGUCUCUUGCUUAACACGAUUGAUUUGAUGAGCUUGUGUUUGUUAUUGUUUGCGUAUUAUUAUUGUAGUUGUUCAUUAUUGAUAAUAUUGUAAAUUAGUGAUAAGUAAUAAUUCAAUUAGACUAAAUGAUGUCCGUUGGAUUCAAAGAAAUAAAUAAAUAAAUAAAAAAAAAAAUAAAAAAAAAAAAAAAGAUGACUCACUCUACAUUUUCAAGAAAUGACAAUAAUCAUUGUUGACAUUUUGUAAUGAGUCAUUAAGUCACGAGAAUCAUAUAUAUUUUGUGUUUGAGGAACGUGAGACCUGUUGCUGAACGAUAUACUCUCGCUUGCAAUAGCUAUCAAUCCUUUCAUGAAAAAUUAUAUGUCAAUUGGUUAGUGUACAUCUUUUCAUGGUAGGUAUGUUUCAUGCAUAACAUCAAAAAUUUAGAAUACGCCUAAAUACUAGAAAGUUAGUGCUGUUUAAUGAUGGCUAACUUAGCUUCAUGCCCUAUGUUGCAAGUUACCCCACAGAUGAGGAAACUUGCAACAAGCAUGUAUUUCGCACCUCCUGAUGAGGUGGCAACGUAUUUUGGUAAACCAAGUGCUGCGUAGUAUUCUACUCGGGGUAAUUAGCGUACACGACGCUUCACAAGAUGUUUUAAAAGUUUAGAUUUUCAAUGAUAUUGCUUCAAAGUCGAAAAGUGUUGCAAGUUACCCCAUUUGACGGUAUUUUGGUAUUUUGUAGGUAUUGAUGAAAUACCUCAACGAGUUAUUGGUUUAGUGUUGAGGACUGUUUGAGGUAUUAUUCAAUUAUGGAAAAAUCGCUAUUUGUAUGGAAAAGCCUUCGAUUAUUAUUUAGGUAUUGCCAUACCUGAUGUCAUUAUUCUCGCGUUGUGCACAGAAUACACACCAGUUAUUAUUUUAGGUAUUUUACCUCUUAUGCAGGGCUACUUAAUACCUCAUUCAGGUUGUAGGUAUUCGAUUUUCCAUACCUGAGUUAGUUAUUCUUCAGUUUUUUCUCCUGCUCGGGGACCCCCUUGUGCAUCAAUAAAAUAAAAUAAAAUAAAAUAAAUAACUUGUGCAAUUCACAAAAGUGAUCAAUUCAAACCUUAAAAAUCUUAACCACUUUCUGGAAAAGUUUGAAAUUUUAUUGAAAGGCAGAUAUUUGCUUCUUUCUAAUUUAAAGCACAAUAUUUCACACACAUCUUGAGAGUAGAAGUACUUGUGAUAAAAAUUAAAUCAAGAUGUUUCUAGCACUACUUUUUUUAAGUUCCCAUUUGAAGUAACAUUUUGUGGGGGCCCCUGAAAUGUGGGGGCCCGGGGCCAUGGCCCCCCUUAAUCCGGCCCUGGGGAUUCAAAUAAAAAAAAAUCGUUUGUGAAACUAAAUUCAGGCAUGCCAUAUUUAGUCAUUACCAGGGAUGGGAACACUCACUUGCAAAGAGUGCUUUUUUCUCAACUCAGAAGUAUGCAAAUAAAGAAACGAUGUAUGGAUGACUUUUGCCUUGUGGUUUUGUCUAAAAGUUUGCCGAAUAAAGUAGGGGUCGCACACGAAUACCAAAGUCGUGACAGCGCUGUGAAAGCGACUUACAAUCACCUCGUGGAGAGUUGCCUUCGCCGCUCCCUCAUGACUUCAAUAUGCGUGUGCGACCCCUACUAUAUUCGGCAAACUUUUAGACAAAAACACGAGGCAAAAGUCGUCCAUACCUCGUUUAUUGAUUGUACGCUUCUGAGCUGAGAAAACAGCAAGUGAGUGUAACUCUUUGCAAGUGAGUGUUCCCAUCCUUGGUCAUUACAUAUGUACAGUGAUUUAGAACUACAGAUUGUACCCAGUAUUCAGGGCAAGCAUGAAUGUUUUAGAAUGUAUCUCAUUGCAAGAUCCACACAGUUAAGAAAUAUCGAUUUACAUAUUCAAUUGCCAAUAAGCCCAAUUUUCAUUACCUUUAUGUCUUUUAGUAGCAGAAUAAUAUCAUUCGUGAUCAGAAACUGAUUCAAUGAAAAAUAUUACCUCGCUGAUCAAUAAUACCCCGUUUAACGGUACUGAUUAUGAAUUAAGAAACGUAUUUUUUUCUGGGUCAUACUGUACAAACCGCUCAAACCCUGUUGAGCAUCAUUUAUUGUGCGUUUAGCACU